GUACAGUUAAUGCCAGGAAAAGCUGGACAGUUAUUCAGACACUCAGGAGACAUGGUCUUCAAAAUAACACUUGAAUCCAUUCACUUCACAGACUCCGCCCAUGGGCCUCAAAUGGCGGAAGAACUGCACGCUACGUCGUGACUUCUCACACUACUGCGGAGGUAUCCCGACGCUACGCCGCCGGCGUAGGCGGGGCGGCCGGCUCUUCCUUCCUCUCUGCUUCUUCGGCUCCACCCCCAGCGUUUCACACGCUCAUUGUGAAGCGACAGCGGCAGGCAGUCUUCAAGGCUGCCUGAGACCUAGAGACCCUAAGUCCUUGGCGCACGCAAGCGCCCCGCGCUGCUCUUUCCCCACUCCAAAGGCGAGGGGCGCGAGAUUCACCUUUCUUUAUUCUUUCUUCUCCCGCCCGCAGCUAACCGCCCCGGUGCGCGCGGACAUCUCGGGCCGCGGCUCCCUCCUCCCCGCCCCUCCCCCUUCGG
ensembl:lncRNA